rnacentral:tRNA from 1 species
GGUAUAUAGCUCAGUUGAUAGAAUCCUUGCCUUGCAUAUGCAAGGACCUGGGUUCAAUCCCCAGGACCA